rnacentral:lncRNA from 1 species
UCUCCACUAGAAAUCUCCAAUCAUUCGCUAUUAGUUUGUGGUGGUGUAGUGGGAAUCCCAAGUAAGUUGUUCCCAACUUUGAUAGGAUGCAACCAAUAAUUUAUGCUAGAAUUUUGCUCUCACUCUCUGAAAUUCUAAAAAGUAAAAAGAUUGCUUUUUUGAUAGUUGUUCUUUAGGCCCGAAGCCAGCUCAAAUGCAUAGACAAUGAACUUUAGAAUAGAGGUAUGGUGUCUACUUGCGUUACUCAUCAAAAGAGUACUGUCUGCAUAUUGAAUGCUC